CCCGCAACGAGCGCAACCCUUAUCCUUUGUUGCCAGCGGGUGAUGCCGGGAACUCAAAGGAGACUGCCGGUGAUAAACCGGAGGAAGGUGGGGAUGACGUCAAGUCAUCAUGGCCCUUACGGCCAGGGCUACACACGUGCUACAAUGGCGCAUACAAAGAGAAGCGACCUCGCGAGAGCAAGCGGACCUCAUAAAGUGCGUCGUAGUCCGGAUCGGAGUCUGCAACUCGACUCCGUGAAGUCGGAAUCGCUAGUAAUCGUAGAUCAGAAUGCUACGGUGAAUACGUU
rnacentral:rRNA from 1 species